AUGAAUAAAUAUUUUCUUAGGAGGAUCCGGAUAUUUUGUACCACUACUAAAUCUUCAUUAAGGACACCCUAUGUGUACCUACCAUACACACACAUAGAUCUAUAUAUAGGGGGUUCCACCGAGAAGAUUGUGCUCUUCGUCCUCAAGCAUCCCAAAAUGGCCAAACUUAGUUUAUUCCUACAAACAAUGUAUGUAUUUAUAUUUCUUCUUGCACAUUCGAACAGGGGUGUUCGACUAUACCCUGUUCUUCAAGAGGGUAAUAAUUCACUGCAACAAGAUAUGGUAUAUAGUUUAGCCAAACGGAGGUUGCCAAGCCUGAAGUCAAAUUCCCUCGAGGCAAAAUUUUCCGGACAAGGAAAUAAUUCAUCGGGUGUACUAUAUUAUGCAACGCAUGACUCAUGGGGAGGCCCUGAUGCUAGCUACUAUGGAUUUCAUGUCAUCACUGAUGUGUACGGCCAUGAGCUAAAACGUGGUCAAUUAACUCGCAGUGGAAUUUGGGUUGGCCACAGUGGAGAUGGACGUAAAUCAAGCUAUAAUGGAGUUAGUGUUGGAUGGCAUAUUGCUCCAGAAAAAUAUGGUGACUCUCAUCCUCAUUUAUUUACCUACUGGACGAGGGAUGGAUAUGAGAGUACUGGGUGCUACAACAUGGAUUGUCCCGGUUUCAUAGCAGCAAGCGGCGCUACUGUUACUCCGGGAGCUCUCAUAAAUCCAUCUUCAAAGGUUACGCUUCGAGUGUUGAAGGAUGACCAAAGUGGACACUGGUGGGUGUACUAUGGCUUCAACGGCGUCCCAACGGCUGUGGGCUACUACCCAAAGUCAUUGUUCACAAACAUGGCAAAAAAGGCAAACCAGUUCUCGUUUGGUGGCUUCGUGUUCGCAGAAAGGGCACUUCCAACUCCUCCAUUGGGCAGUGGCGUCCUUCCUGGUGGCAAGGGACGUGCGGCAUCGUUUACUGACUUGCGCCUCAUUGAACGGGAUGGAAGGAGCAGCCCCAUCAUGAAGGACUUGCCUACUGUUAUAUCCAACAAUAAAUGUUAUUCUAUCACUCCUAUUGUUAAUUCCGGGUGCUUCUAUGGCGGGCCAAGAGGUUGUGUGUAA
rnacentral:rRNA from 1 species